AUUGAACGCUGGCGGCAGGCCUAACACAUGCAAGUCGAACGAGUGGCGGACGGGUGAGUAAUGUCUGGGAAACUGCCUGAUGGAGGGGGAUAACUACUGGAAACGGUAGCUAAUACCGCAUACCAUCGGAUUUGCCCAGAUGGGCUUCGCUAGGAGGUGGGGUAACGGCUCACCUAGUCGACGAUCCCUAGCUGGUCUGAGAGGAUGACCAGCAACAGUGGAGUUGUGCAACGGUCCAUACUCCACCGGGAGGAAGCAGUGGGAAAUAUUGGCAAAUGGGCGCAAGCGUGAUGCAGAAGUGCCGGGUGUAUGAAAAAGGCCUUCGGGUUGUAAAGUACGUUCAGCGGGGAGUCGUUACCCGCAGAAGAAGCACCGGCUAACUCCGUGCCAGCCGCCGCGGUAAUUC
rnacentral:rRNA from 1 species